rnacentral:rRNA from 1 species
UACAGAGGGUGCGAGCGUUAAUCGGAAUUACUGGGCGUAAAGCGUGCGUAGACGGUUAUUUAAGUCGGAUGUGAAAGCCCCGGGCUCAACCUGGGAAUUGCAUUCGAGACUGAAUAGCUAGGGUGCGGUAGAGGGAAGCGGAAUUUCCGGUGUAGCGGUGAAAUUCGUAGAUAUCGGGAGGAAUACCAGUGGCGAAGGCGGCGACCUGGGCCAAUAUUGACGCUGAGGAGCGAAAGCGUGGGGAGCGAACAGG